rnacentral:rRNA from 1 species
GACACGUGGUAUCCUGUCUGAAUAUGGGGGGACCAUCCUCCAAGGCUAAAUACUCCUGACUGACCGAUAGUGAACCAGUACCGUGAGGGAAAGGCGAAAAGAACCCCGGCGAGGGGAGUGAAAAAGAACCUGAAACCGUGUACGUACAAGCAGUGGGAGCACGCUUAGGCGUGUGACUGCGUACCUUUUGUAUAAUGGGUCAGCGACUUAUAUUCUGUAGCAAGGUUAACCGAAUAGGGGAGCCGAAGGGAAACCGAGUCUUAACUGGGCGUUAAGUUGCAGGGUAUAGACCCGAAACCCGGUGAUCUAGCCAUGGGCAGGUUGAAGGUUGGGUAACACUAACUGGAGGACCGAACCGACUAAUGUUGAAAAAUUAGCGGAUGACUUGUGGCUGGGGGUGAAAGGCCAAUCAAACCGGGAGAUAGCUGGUUCUCCCCGAAAGCUAUUUAGGUAGCGCCUCGUGAAUUCAUCUCCGGGGGUAGAGCACUGUUUCGGCAAGGGGGUCAUCCCGACUUACCAACCCGAUGCAAACUGCGAAUACCGGAGAAUGUUAUCACGGGAGACACACGGCGGGUGCUAACGUCCGUCGUGAAGAGGGAAACAACCCAGACCGCCAGCUAAGGUCCCAAAGUCAUGGUUAAGUGGGAAACGAUGUGGGAAGGCCCAGACAGCCAGGAUGUUGGCUUAGAAGCAGCCAUCAUUUAAAGAAAGCGUAAUAGCUCACUGGUCGAGUCGGCCUGCGCGGAAGAUGUAACGGGGCUAAACCAUGCACCGAAGCUGCGGCAGCGACGCUUAUGCGUUGUUGGGUAGGGGAGCGUUCUGUAAGCCUGUGAAGGUGUGCUGUGAGGUAUGCUGGAGGUAUCAGAAGUGCGAAUGCUGACAUAAGUAACGAUAAAGCGGGUGAAAAGCCCGCUCGCCGGAAGACCAAGGGUUCCUGUC